CGUAACGCGUGGGAAUCUACCUUAUAGUGGGGGAUAGCCCGGAGAAAUCCGGAUUAAUACCGCAUAAUCUCUACGGAGCAAAGUGGGGGAUCUUCGGACCUCACGCUAUUAGAUGAGCCCGCGUUAGAUUAGCUUGUUGGUGAGGUAAUGGCUCACCAAGGCUGCGAUCUAUAGCUGGUUUGAGAGGAUGAUCAGCCACACUGGGACUGAGACACGGCCCAG
rnacentral:rRNA from 1 species